CGGACGGGUGAGUAACGCGUGGAAAACCUGCCGUAUACUGGGGGAUAACACUUAGAAAUAGGUGCUAAUACCGCAUAAGCGCACAGCUUCGCAUGAAGCGGUGUGAAAAACUCUGGUGGUAUACGAUGGUUCCGCGCCUGAUUAGCUAGUUGGUGGGGUAAUGGCCUACCAAGGCAACGAUCAGUAGCCGGCCUGAGAGGGUGAACGGCCACAUUGGGACUGAGACACGGCCCAAACUCCUACGGAAGGCAGCAG
rnacentral:rRNA from 1 species